AGUGAACGCUGGCGGCGUGCUUAACACAUGCAAGUCGAACGAGAACGGAUUAUAGCUUGCUAUAAUUGUCAGCUAAGUGGCGCACGGGUGAGUAAUGUAUAGGUAAUAUGCCUCUUACUAAGGGAUAACAAAUGGAAACGUUUGCUAAUACCUUAUACUCCUUAUUAACAGAAGUUAAUAAGGGAAAGAUUUAUUGGUAAGAGAUUAGCCUGUAUUGUAUCAGUUAGUUGGUGGGGUAAUGGCUUACCAAGACUAUGACACAUAACUGGUUUGAGAGAAUGAUCAGUGAAAAUGUAACUGAGACACGGGCCAGGAUCCUACGGGAGGCAGCAGUGGGGAAUAGUGCACCAUGCACGAAGGUCUGUUGCAGCAACGCCGCGUGGAGGAUGACACAUUUCGGUGCGUAAACUCCUUUUAUAUGAGAAGAUAAUGGCGGUAUGAUAUGAAUAAGCAUCGGCUAACUCCGUGCCAGAAGCCGCGGUAA
rnacentral:rRNA from 1 species